rnacentral:rRNA from 1 species
GAAGGGGGCUAGCGUUGCUCGGAAUUACUGGGCGUAAAGGGCGCGUAGGCGGAUAGUUUAGUCAGAGGUGAGAGCCCAGGGCUCAACCUUGGAAUUGCCUUUGAUACUGGCUGUCUUGAGUUCGGGAGAGGUGAGUGGAAUGCCGAGUGUAGAGGUGAAAUUCGUAGAUAUUCGGCGGAACACCAGUGGCGAAGGCGACUCACUGGCCCGAUACUGACGCUGAGGCGCGAAAGCGUGGGGAGCAAACAGGAUUAGAUACCCUGGUAGUCCACGCUGUAAACGAUGAGUGCUAGUUGUCGGCAUGCAUGCAUGUCGGUGACGCAGCUAACGCAUUAAGCACUCCGCCUGGGGAGUACGGUCGCAAGAUUA